rnacentral:rRNA from 1 species
GACGGGUAUCCGGCCUGAGAGGGUGAACGGACACACUGGAACUGAGACACGGUCCAGACUCCUACGGGAGGCAGCAGUAGGGAAUAUUGCUCAAUGGGGGAAACCCUGAAGCAGCAACGCCGCGUGGAGGAUGAAGGUUUUAGGAUUGUAAACUCCUUUUUUAGAGAAGAUUAUGACGGUAUCUAACGAAUAAGCCGGCUAACUCGUGCACACGCGGUAAUACGGAGGGUGCAAGCGUUACUCGGAAUCCUGGGCGUAAAGAGUGCGCAGGCGGGAUAGCAAGUCAGAUGUGAAAUGCUAUGGCUUAACAUAGAACUGCAUUUAAAUUUAUUCUA